rnacentral:rRNA from 1 species
GUGACGAAGCGACGCCGCGUGUGGGAAGAAGGCCUUCGGGUUGUAAACCACUGUCGGGAGUUAAAAAAUGCAAGAGUGUUAAUAGCGUUUUUGCUUGACUAAGGCUCCGGAGGAAGCCACGGCUAACUCUGUGCCAGCAGCCGCGGUAAUACAGAGGCGGCAAGCGUUGUUCGGAAUUAUUGGGCGUAAAGAGCACGUAGGCGGCUAUAUAAGUCGGUUGUGAAAGCCUCCCGCUGAACGGGAGAACAGCAUCCGAUACUGUAUGGCUUGAGUGUGGGAGGGGAGAGCGGAACUUCUGGUGGAGCGGUGAAAUGCGUAGAUAUUAAAAGGAACGCCGGCGGCGAAAGCGGCUCUCUGGCCCAUAACUGACGCUGAGUGUGCGAAAGCUAGGGGAGCAAACGGGAUUAGAUACCCCGGUAGUCCUAGCCGUAAACGAU